AAGUCGUAACAAGGUUUCCGUAGGUGAACCUGCGGAAGGAUCAUUUCCAAAAACCUUUUCUUUGCCAUUCCCUUUUUGCUCCUUGUCGGUGCACCCGCAUCGCGCAAAGGCAAAAAGGAAUGGCAAGGAAAUAUACCAACUCCAUCAUGCCUUCUGAUCUUUUCUCCCUUUUCUCUCUUCUUUUAACGACAACCGUCAAUGGAAGAAUGAAAUUGGGAUAAAAAUGGAAAGGCAUCAUUCUCAAGUCUAACAGUAUCAAAAUAACAAAAAAACAACUUUUAACAACGGAUCUCUUGGCUCUC
rnacentral:misc_RNA from 1 species